UGAAUACGAGAUGCUACGGCGUCGAAGCAGUCUAUGUCAUACUUCCAAGAAAAGCUUGCACUGUCAUAAACAAAUAAUGCCUGUACCAUAACCGACACAGGUGGGUAGGUAGAGUAUACUAAGGGGCGCGAGAUAACUCUCUCUAAGGAACUCGGCAAAAUGACUCCGUAACUUCGGGAGAAGGAGUGCCUUAUUUAUAAGGUUGCAAUAACAAGAUCCAAGCAACUGUUUACCAAAAACACAGGUCUCCGCUAAGUCGUAAGACGAUGUAUGGGGGCUGACGCCUGCCCAGUGCCAGAAGGUUAAAGAAGUUGGUUAGCAUCCGCGAAGCUGAUAACUGAAGCCCUGGUGAACGGCGGCCGUAACUAUAACGGUCCUAAGGUAGCGAAAUUCCUUGUCGGGUAAGUUCCGACCCGCACGAAAGGCGUAAUGAUUUGGAUACUGUCUCGGAGAGGGGCUCGGUGAAAUAGACUUGUCUGUGAAGAUGCGGACUACCUGCACCAGGACAGAAAGACCCUAUGAAGCUUUACUGUAACCUGAAAUUGAAAUUGGACUUUACUUGCGCAGUAUAGGUGGGAGGCGUUGAGAAUAUUCUUGCGGGAUUAUUGGAGCCAUCAGUGAGAUACCACUCUUGUAAUGUUAGAUUUCUAACUUUGUAUCAUUAUCUGGUCAAAGAGCAGUUUCAGGCGGGCAGUUUGACUGGGGCGGUCGCCUCCUAAACGGUAACGGAGGCGCACAAAGGUUUCCUCUGAACGGGUAGAAAUCGUAUCUAGAGUGUAAAGGCAUAAGGAAGCUUGACUGUGAGACCUACAAGUCGAGCAGGGACGAAAGUCGGUCUUAGUGAUCUGACGGUGCUGAGUGGAAAGGCCGUCACUCAACGGAUAAAAGUUACUCAAGGAUAACAGGCUGAUCUCCCCCAAGAGUUCACAUCGACGGGGAGGUUUGGCACCUCGAUGUCGGCUCAUCGCAUCCUGGGGCGGUAGUACGUCCCAAGGGUUGGGCUGUUCGCCCAUGAAAGCGGUACGCGAGCUGGGUUCAGAACGUCGUGAGACAGUUCGGUCCAUAUCCGGUGUAGGCGUUAGAAUAUUGAGAGGAGCCUUCUUUAGUACGAGAGGACCGAGAAGGACAUACCUCUGGUGUACCAGUUAUCGUGCCAACGGUAAACGCUGGGUAGCUAUGUGUGGAGUGGAUAACCGCUGAAAGCAUCUAAGUGGGAAGCCCACCUCAAGAUAAGUAUUCUC
rnacentral:rRNA from 1 species